rnacentral:rRNA from 1 species
GACGAACGCUGGCGGCGUGCUUAACACAUGCAAGUCGAGCGGUAAGGCCCUUUCGGGGGUACACGAGCGGCGAACGGGUGAGUAACACGUGGGUGACCUGCCCUCAGCUCUGGGAUAAGCCUGGGAAACCGGGUCUAAUACCGGAUAUGACUCCAUGACGCAUGUUGUGGGGUGGAAAGCCUUGUGCGGCUGAGGAUGGGCCCGCGGCCUAUCAGCUUGUUGGCGGGGUGAUGGCCUACCAAGGCGACGACGGGUAGCCGGCCUGAGAGGGCGACCGGCCACACUGGGACUGAGACACGGCCCAGACUCCUACGGGAGGCAGCAGUGGGGAAUCUUGCGCAAUGGGCGAAAGCCUGACGCAGCGACGCCGCGUGAGGGAUGACGGCCUCGG